AUCAGCAGUCCAGCAAUUUCGACUUCCCCCUCCCUUCUCCCAUCUCUCUCUCUCUGUGUGUGUGUGUGAGAGAGAGAGAGAGAGAUGGGAGAAGGGAGGGAGGGAGAAGCAAAGAAAAACAAGACAACACAAC
rnacentral:miRNA from 1 species